AUAAAAACAGGUAAAAAUCUUGAUGGAGGAUCCAGUCAUGUAGCAUCACUGACAUGAAGACAGCAUUUGUAUUAAGGAUCUUAAGACAUUGCUGAUAGAAAAAAAUUUAUUAUUCACAAGUCACAGUAUCUAAUUCUAAGAUAUAAAGU